rnacentral:lncRNA from 1 species
AGGAUUCCUUCCGUAUUGAAGAAUAAUAAGAAGAUCAAGAUUAUCAUCUAUCAUCUCAUCAUCAACAAUACUUGGUCUAUACAAAUAUUUACCCUCCGACCAUUCGUUUCUACAUGAAAAUUUCAUAUUAAAAAAAAAAUUAACCAUAAAUGGCAUAUAUAUCAAAAUAAGAAUUAGAAAUGCAUCCAAGUGAUGUUGGCCCAAAAACCUGCGUAAGUAGUUUCCAUAUUCUUGAAAUCAGAAAAGAUCUAUUAUGCCUCUGGUGAACCGUAAUCGAACUUAAAGAGCUUUUGC